rnacentral:rRNA from 1 species
GUGGGGAAUUUUGGACAAUGGGCGAAAGCCUGAUCCAGCAAUGCCGCGUGCAGGAUGAAGGCCCUCGGGUUGUAAACUGCUUUUGUACGGAACGAAAAGCCUGGGGCUAAUAUCCCCGGGUCAUGACGGUACCGUAAGAAUAAGCACUGGCUAACUACGUGCCAGCAGCCGCGGUAAUACGUAGGGUGCAAGCGUUAAUCGGAAUUACUGGGCGUAAAGCGUGCGCAGGCGGUUUUGUAAGACAGUGGUGAAAUCCCCGGGCUCAACCUGGGAACUGCCAUGGUGACUGCAAGGCUAGAGUGCGGCAGAGGGGGAUGGAAUUCCGCGUGUAGCAGUGAAAUGCGUAGAUAUGCGGAGGAACACCGAUGGCGAAGGCAAUCCCCUGGGCCUACACUGACGCUCAUGCACGAAAGCGUGGGGAGCAAACAGGAUUAGAUACCCCAGUAGUCC